GGGGAUGUAGCUCAUAUGGUAGAGCGUAUGGUUUGCAUCCAUAAGGUAAAGGGAUCGAUACCCUUCUUCUCCA